rnacentral:rRNA from 2 species
GAGAUGGAUUGGUGCCUUCGGGAACUGUGAGACAGGUGCUGCAUGGCUGUCGUCAGCUCGUGUUGUGAAAUGUUGGGUUAAGUCCCGCAACGAGCGCAACCCUUAUCCUUUGUUGCCAGCGGUCCGGCCGGGAACUCAAAGGAGACUGCCAGUGAUAAACUGGAGGAAGGUGGGGAUGACGUCAAGUCAUCAUGGCCCUUACGACCAGGGCUACACACGUGCUACAAUGGCGCAUACAAAGAGAAGCGACCUCGCGAGAGCAAGCGGACCUCAUAAAGUGCGUCGUAGUCCGGAUUGGAGUCUGCAACUCGACUCCAUGAAGUCGGAAUCGCUAGUAAUCGUGGAUCAGAAUGCCACGGUGAAUACGUUCCCGGGCCUUGUACACACCGCCCGUCACACCAUGGGAGUGGGUUGCAAAAGAAGUAGGUAGCUUAACCUUCGGGAGGGCGCUUACCACUUUGUGAUUCAUGACUGGGGUGAAGUCGUAACAAGGUAACCGUAGGGGAACCUGC